UCCUACGGGAGGCAGCAGUGGGGAAUAUUGCACAAUGGGGGAAACCCUGAUGCAGCGACGCCGCGUGAGUGAAGAAGUAUCUCGGUACGUAAAGCUCUAUCAGCAGGGAAGAAAAUGACGGUACCUGACUAAGAAGCCCCGGCUAACUACGUGCCAGCAGCCGCGGUAAUACGUAGGGGGCAAGCGUUAUCCGGAUUUACUGGGUGUAAAGGGGGCGCAGACGGCGAUGCAAGCCAGGAGUGAAAGCCCGGGGCCCAACCCCGGGACUGCUCUUGGAACUGCGUGGCUAGAGUGCAGGAGGGGCG
rnacentral:rRNA from 1 species